ensembl:snoRNA SNORA62 Small nucleolar RNA SNORA62/SNORA6 family
UGUGCACAUUGUUAGAGCUUGGAGUUGAGGCUACUGACUGGCCGAUGAACUCGCAAGUGUAGGUAGUGUGCUACACGAGGGGCAAGUUUUUCGCUAACACCAUGAGGGUCUCUGGCCCGAUGAGUGGAGUUUGAUAGUAAUUCUUGCUACAGUA